GUGUCAGCCGCCGCGGUAAUACGGAGACUGCAAGCGUUACUCGGAUUUACUGGGUUUAAAGGGUGCGUAGGCGGCCUGGUAAGUCAGGGGUGAAAGUUUGCCGCUCAACGGUAAAAUUGCCUUUGAUACUGUCAGGCUUGAAUAGGCGCGAGGCAGGCGGAAUGUGACAUGUAGCGGUGAAAUGCAUAGAUAUGUCAUAGAACACCAAUUGCGAAGGCAGCUUGCCAGAGCCUUAUUGACGCUGAGGCACGAAAGCGUGGGGAGCGAACAGGAUUAGAUACCCUGGUAGUCCACGCCCUAAACGAUGCUUACUCGACGUGCGGUUUUCGGAUUGUGCGUCCAAGCGAAAGCGCUAAGUAAGCCACCUGGGGAGUACGCCGGCUACGGUGAAACUUAAAGGAAUUGGCGGGG
rnacentral:rRNA from 1 species